UGCGGGGUGGAGCAGUCUGGUAGCUCGUCGGGCUCAUAACCCGAAGGUCGUUGGUUCAAAUCCAAUCCCCGCUACCA
rnacentral:tRNA from 1 species